rnacentral:rRNA from 1 species
CCUAACAUCUAGCCCACACACCACCACCUACUUAUAACCCAAAUAAAACAUUUUCACCUUCUAGUAGGGGAGACCGAAAAAUUGAUAGACGCCUUAGACUAAGUACCGAAAGGGAAUGAUGAAAUAAUAGUGAAAUAGCUUAAGCUCUUCACAGCAAAGCUUAUCCCUUGUACCUUUUGCAUCAUGGUCAAGCCAGUUCAACUAAGCAAAAAGCAAUUUUAGUUUAACCUCCCGAAACUGGGUGAGCUACUUUAAAACAGUUUUAUAGAACAAACCCUUCUCUGUCGCAAAAGAGUGGGAAGAUUUUUUAGUAGCAGUGAAAAGCUUACCGGACCCAGAGAUAGCUGGUUGUCUAAGAAAAGAAUCUGAGUUCAGCCUCAAGGUUAAAUAUACCCACAAAUAAUACCCAAACCUUAAGAGUUAUUCAAAUAGGGUACAGCCUAUUUGACCUAGGACACAGCCUCCAACACAGGGUAACAUUUAUUAUACCAAAAAGUAGGCCUGAAAGCAGCCAAAAACGCGUUAAAGCCUCCCACCACUAACCACACCUAAUACCUCUCACCCCCACCAACCCUUAAUGACUAUUAGACGACUCCAUGAUUCCCCAUGGAAGACAUUAUGCUUGAACUAGUAACAAGAAUAUGUUAUUCUCCUAAAUAUAUGUAUAAGCCGCAAUAGACUAACCAACGGCAAUUAACGCCAAUAAAUUUACUGCAGCAACCCCAAGAGAAUCCUGCAAAAUUAAACGUUAAUCUUACACAAGAAUAUUUCAGGAAAGAUUAAAAGGCGGAGAAGGAACUCGGCAAAUAAUAACCCCGCCUGUUUACCAAAAACAUCGCCUCUUGCUUAAACAUAAGAGGUCCAGCCUGCCCAGUGACUUUUCAACGGCCACGGUACCCUAACCGUGCUAAGGUAGCGCAAUUACUUGUCCUUUAAAUGAGGACCCGAAUGAAUGGCAUCACGAGGGUUAUACUGUCUCCUCCACCCAAUCAGUGAAACUGACCUCCCUGUGAAAAGGCAGGAAUAAAAAUAUUAGACGAGAAGACCCCAUGGAGCUUCAGACUCUGAGCAAGUCAAACAUCCAAGUCCAAGACUUAUGCCUCCAGAGUCUUCGGCUGGGGCGACCAUGGAGUAAAAAUUAACCUCCACGCCGAAUGGGUAACCCCCUCAUCUACGAGCAACAUCUCUAAGAAACAGAACACUGACGCCCACUGAUCCGGACCCCGAUCAACGAACCAAGUUACCCUGGGGAUAACAGCGCUAUCUGCCCCAAGAGUUCAUAUCGCCGGGCGGGUUUACGACCUCGAUGUUGGAUCAGGGUAUCCUGGUGGCGCAGCCGCUACAUAAGGUUCGUUGUCA